UACGAAGGGGGCUAGCGUUGCUCGGAAUCACUGGGCGUAAAGGGUGCGUAGGCGGGUCUUUUAGUCAGGGGUGAAAUCCUGGAGCUCAACUCCAGAACUGCCUUUGAUACUGAAGAUCUUGAGUGCGGGAGAGGUGAGUGGAACUGCGAGUGUAGAGGUGAAAUUCGUAGAUAUUCGCAAGAACACCAGUGGCGAAGGCGGCUCACUGGCCCGAUACUGACGCUGAGGCACGAAAGCGUGGGGAGCAAACAGG
rnacentral:rRNA from 1 species